AGUGUCCCGCCUGGGGAGUACGGCCGCAAGGCUGAAACUCAAAGGAAUUGACGGGGGCCCGCACAAGCAGCGGAGCGUGUGGUUUAAUUCGAUGCUACGCGAAGAACCUUACCAGGGCUUGACAUGGCAGAAGUAGGAAUCCGAAAGGAAGACGACCUGUAUCCAGUCAGGAGCUGUCACAGGUGCUGCAUGGCUGUCGUCAGCUCGUGCCGUGAGGUGUUGGGUUAAGUCCCGCAACGAGCGCAACCCUUGUCCUAUGUUAAAUUCUCAUAGGAGACUGCCUUGUACAGCAAGGAGGAAGGAAAGGAUGACGUCAAGUCAGCAUGGCCUUUAUGUCCUGGGCUACACACACGCUACAAUGGGUGAUACAGAGGGUUGCCAAGGAGCGAUCCGGAGCUAAUCCCUAAAAAUCAUCCUCAGUUCAGAUUGCAGGCUGAAAUCGCCUGCAUGAAGGCGGAGUUGCUAGUAACCGCAGGUCAGCUACACUGCGGUGAAUACGUUCUCGGGCCUUGUACACACCGCCCGUCACGCCAUGGGAGCUGGCAACACCUGAAGUCGAUGGGCUAACUCCGACUUGUCGGAGAGGCAGUCGCCUAAGGUGGGGUUGGUGACUGUGACGAAGUCGUAACAAGGCAGCCGUACGGGAACGUGUGGCUGAAUCACCUCCUUU
rnacentral:rRNA from 1 species